rnacentral:rRNA from 1 species
GACGAACGCUGGCGGCGUGCUUAACACAUGCAAGUCGAACGGAAAGGCCUCUUUCGGGGGGUACUCGAGUGGCGAACGGGUGAGUAACACGUGAGUAACCUGCCCUUGACUUUGGGAUAACUUCAGGAAACUGGGGCUAAUACCGGAUAGGAGCUCCUGCUGCCUGGUGGGGGUUGGAAAGUUUCGGCGGUUGGGGAUGGACUCGCGGCUUAUCAGCUUGUUGGUGGGGUAGUGGCUUACCAAGGCUUUGACGGGUAGCCGGCCUGAGAGGGUGACCGGCCACAUUGGGACUGAGAUACGGCCCAGACUCCGACGGGAGGCAGCAGUGGGGAAUAUUGCACAAGGGGUGGAAGCCGGAUGUAGCAACGCCGUGGGCGGGAUGACGGCCUUCGGGUUGUAAACCGCUUUCGCUCAUGACGAAGCUUUGUGUGACGGUAGUGGGUAAAGAAGCACCGGCUAACUACGUG